UACAGAGGGUGCAAGCGUUGUCCGGAAUCACUGGGCGUAAAGGGCGCGUAGGCGGCGCGGUAAGCGUGCGGUGAAAGCCCGGGGCUCAACCCCGGGUCGGCCGUGCGGACUGCCGGGCUGGAGCACUGUAGAGGCAGGUGGAAUUCCGGGUGUAGCGGUGGAAUGCGUAGAGAUCCGGAAGAACACCGGUGGCGAAGGCGGCCUGCUGGGCAGUGGCUGACGCUGAGGCGCGACAGCGUGGGGAGCAAACAGG
rnacentral:rRNA from 1 species